GCAAUAAUGGAGUAGUGGUAACCUUGGUUGUUGCCAUCGAACAGUCACGAGUUCGAUUCUUGAUUAAUGCA